CUACAACCAAAUUAAUCCAGCAAGCUAAGGCUCAAAUCACUGUGGAUAUGUCCAAAUCCUCCAUGAGAUACAUCUUAGAGAAGGCUUUCCACCUGUGCACAGUGGAACACUUACAGUAUCCUCCUAACUUCUUUUCCUGACUCUGGGCUCUCUUUCUCCAGUUAGCCGAUGGGUAAUAGGUUAACCCUUUCCAACAUGACUAACCUCUUUAAUGAAAUGAAGGUGAUGAAGAUGAGGAGGAAGAUCAUUGUGAUAAUGAUAAAAAUAUCAAGGCACAGAGGACAUAAGAAAUGUGCCUAGGUAACAUGGGUAAUAAUGGAGGAAGAAAGGAAGAGGAAGAAAACAGCAAUUAAUGAACAUAGACAAUGUGCCAGGAACAGUGACAUCAACCUUUAAAUAUAUUAGCUGGUUUAAUCUCCUGGACUCUGACCCCAAGUAUAGAGCCAGUUCCCUGUUCUUUACCAUCACACUGUACUGGUUCCUUGUAAAACAGCAAGAACAACAAAAUGUUGGUGGAGAGGCAAUGAAUUCAUGUUUUUGAGGAUCUAUUGUGUAUUAGAGCACAAGCCCCCAUAUUUAAUUCUAAUCACUAAAAUGUGAAGUGAGAAGAAG